UGAUAUUUACAAAUAUUGAGUAAUUUCAAUUCAACGCCGAUUUUUCUAGUUAAUUAUCGUUAUAAUACAUCAAAAUGAUAUAUUUAUGUUGAAAUAUAUUAUAAAUAUUCAUAAUCUACGAAGAUUUGAUCAUUCCUAUCAAGAUUUGGGUAGAUUUGGGUAAGAUUUGGGUAGAUUUGGGUAUUUCGUGCCGCCGGUCGGAACGGGCAAAACUGGUUCCUGGUUCCAACAAUAUUUUCUCACCGGCAAGUGUUGCAGAAUAACAGAAGAAUAUUAAAAGAAAGAAAUGAGACUGUGCCGUCCAGAUCUACAAGAAAAACACGUCUAAAUCUACCCGAUCAGUCCCUUUGUGUGUCUGGACCACUUGCAGAUGAGAUUAACAAAGAUGACAGAGAUGCCAGCCUAGAUGUGUCCAUUGACGAAAAUGCGGACUUGAACAAUAAACAGACUGAGAUAUACCAACCAACAGACCAUGACUACUUCCAUACUACAGAAGACAAGGGAUCCUACAAAGUCAUGGAUGAGAAUACAGAUCUUAAGGACAUUGUUAAUGACUAUGAGGAACUGUUGAAAGCCAGAGAUGAAAUGAAAAAUAUUCGUGAAAUGUGGUCAGGUUAUCUUCCUACCAAGUUUAAAGGAAAAUGCUAAGCUUUUUCAAUACUAUACAGGGCUUAAAGUUGAGGUAUUUAAUGCACUCUUUCGGUAUCUACAACCAAAAGCAAAAUUUAUGAAAUAUCCUUAUGGUACGGAAUCCUGUUCGUGCCACUUAAAUUGUCGCCUCGCCAACACGCGACAACGCGAUAAUUAUCGCGUUGUCGCCUUGUCCGAAAACAUA
rnacentral:lncRNA from 1 species